GCCUGCAUGGCGCAGUGGCAACGCGUCGCACUUGUAUCAUCAUGCAAAUGCGAAGAUCACUGGUUCAAUUCCAGUUGUAGGCA